rnacentral:lncRNA from 10 species
AGUCCUUGUGAGGCUGUUUCCUUACCCUUUGAUGAGGUGUAGUCACAGCUUCAGAGGCUCCCCGCAAAGUUUUUGUCAUCAGUGAUGGAACACAAGAUGUAAGAGCUGAAGAGUUAUGAACACAAAUGUGAAACCUUGCCUACUGGAGCUGCCACUAGAAAGCCCGCCAACAUGGCAUUGGGACGAAUAUAAUCAAAGUCUCCCACCCCUAAACAGAGAAAAACAAAAUAUAGCAUAUGGCCAAAGUGAUUUAUCUUUAUACUUUUUUUAAUCUUUAAAAGAUAUUUAUUGCCCUAUAAUAUACCUACAGAAAAAUGCACUGACCCUCAGUGUACAUGAGAUUCUUUCAUAAAUUUCAUGUGUACAUGCGUACUUCAAGUGUACGUGAAAUGACCUCUGUUUAUAUUCCAUCACAAUGCCUGGACAAGACUUACUUAAUAUAAGUGAAAAAAUCA